rnacentral:rRNA from 1 species
UAGGGAAUCUUCGGCAAUGGGGGGAACCCUGACCGAGCAACGCCGCGUGAGUGAAGAAGGUUUUCGGAUCGUAAAGCUCUGUUGUUAAGGAAGAACGAGUGUGAGAAUGGAAAGUUCAUACUGUGACGGUACUUAACCAGAAAGGGACGGCUAACUACGUGCCAGCAGCCGCGGUAAUACGUAGGUCCCGAGCGUUGUCCGGAUUUAUUGGGCGUAAAGCGAGCGCAGGCGGUUAGAUAAGUCUGAAGUUAAAGGCAGUGGCUCAACCAUUGUAGGCUUUGGAAACUGUUUAACUUAAGUGCAGAAGGGGAGAGUGGAAUUCCAUGUGUAGCGGUGAAAUGCGUAGAUAUAUGGAGGAACACCGGUGGCGAAAGCGGCUCUCUGGUCUGUAACUGACGCUGAGGCUCGAAAGCGUGGGGAGCGAACAGG